UACGAGGGGGCUAGCGUUGUUCGGAAUUCCUGGGCGUAAAGCGCACGUAGGCGGAUACUUAAGUCAGGGGUGAAAUCCCGGGGCUCAACCCCGGAACUGCCUUUGAUACUGGGUAUCUCGAGUCCGGGAGAGGUGAGUGGAACUGCGAGUGUAGAGGUGAAAUUCGUAGAUAUUAGGAAGAACACCAGUGGCGAAGGCGGCUCACUGGCCCGGUACUGACGCUGAGGCGCGAAAGCGUGGGGAGCAAACAGG
rnacentral:rRNA from 1 species